UGGACUUGUAAAAAAAUCACAUUAUGAUCACUUAGCAUUAGGUAACAUUUAAGCAAUUUUGGGCGCCUAACGCUUGAAGGACUGAUGAUUUCAAAUGGACAAUAACUUUGGUUUAAAUUCCAAUAUUUUAUGGAAUUGCAUGGUUUCAAAUUCACCAUAAAGAAAAUGCCUUUUUUGAGCAUCAAUUCAAAGAGCUAUUUAGCAUUAAGGAACCGCAUUAGCUGUACAACUCAUGAUGGUGUUAAUUAGGAAAGGAGCUAGAGAAAAAAAAAAAUCCAUCGCUGAAGCUUUGAUACACUGUUUAAAACUCACUAUUAACCUGACGAACUAUUUUUUUCCGGGGAAGUGCUAAUGACAUGAGCUGGCAAAAUAUUUUACUAGUUCCUUAAUAAUAAAUCAUUUGAGGGAAAAUUGCAACUUGGUAUGGACCUCACCGAGCCCCUCGCCAAUUCAAUCAGGCCCUCCUUUGAUAAUUUAACAACAAAUUCCUGUCUGGAAUCACACAUUCAAGUGCCUUUUUAAAUGAAUCCCAUUUCAAUUUUCUAAUAAAGUACUACCAGUAGAUCUGCAAGUUGAGGAAAGCAGCUCAGGUGACACAUUUGGCACCAAAAAGAAUACUGAGUGGGUCAAAAUCCUGCCUGGGCAGACAAUAGAAGAGGAGACGAAGAAGGUGACUAGACUUAGGGACUUCAAGAAGAGCAAGCACUGAAAACAGCAGUUUACCUACCUCAGACAGUAAGCAACAAGCCUGCAGUCCCCAGAUAAUCGGCCCAGAGGGAGCUGAGAGGAUGGAGUUGGAAAGGGGAACCACAGAGCCCGGGAAGAAGGAGCGACCAGGAUGGAGCGCAAACGAGUGACAGGCAAGGAGCCCAAAGGGACCACACCAAUGCAACAGGUGGUGAUGAAACUCCUGCUCUGGUCAGAGCUACCGGUGAACAGCGUCCAGCGGCCUGGCCCCCAACCUCCCUCCUGACCCUGAACAACCCCCCAACCCCGCCUUGAGAAUUCAGCGAGGAGUAAAAGCUGGAGAAAAUUGCGUGUCUCAGGCUAAGCAGAGCAAAGUGGGGUGACGGCUCCCCCGCUAGGAACAGAGAUGCCCUUAGGGAACCCCCUGAUGGAAGAGCUCCCGGCUUAAGAAGGUCACCACUCCCUUACACUCAGGAAAAGUGGAAAUGAGGCCUCUUACCCCUGGCUUGUUGAGAAGACAGAGGAGAAAAAGCACAUAAAAAUUCAACUUGUCGGGUGCGGUGGCUCACACCUGUAAUCCUGCACUUUGGGAGGCCGAGGCAGGUGGAUAGCUUGAGGCUAGUAGCUCAAGACCAGCCUGGCCAACAUGGCAAAACCCUGUCUCUAUUGAAAAUACAAAAAUUAGACAGGCAUGGUGGUGCACGCCUGUAAUCCCAGCUACUUGGCAGGCUGGGGCACAAGAAUUGCUUGAACCCAGUAAGUGGAAGCUGCAGUCAGUCAAGAUUGCACCACUGCACCCCAGGCUGGGUGACAGAGUGAGACCCUGUCUCAC